CACGUAGGGGGCGAGCGUUGUCCGGAAUUACUGGGCGUAAAGGGCGCGUAGGCGGCCUAAUAAGUCAGAUGUGAAACCCCCGGGCUUAACCCUGGGCUUGCAUUUGAAACUGUUGGGCUUGAGGACAGGAGAGGAAAGCGGAAUUCCCAGUGUAGCGGUGAAAUGCGUAGAUAUUGGGAGGAACACCAGUGGCGAAGGCGGCUUUCUGGACUGUAACUGACGCUGAGGCGCGAAAGCCAGGGUAGCGAACGGG
rnacentral:rRNA from 1 species